rnacentral:rRNA from 1 species
UCAACGCUGGCGGCGUGCCUAACACAUGCAAGUCGAACGCGAAAGCCCCGCAAGGGGUCAGUAGCGUGGCAAACGGGUGAGUAACACGUGGGUGACCUGCCUUCGAGUGGGGGAUAACGUCCCGAAAGGGACGCUAAUACCGCAUGACAUCCUGCCUUUGGAAAGGCGGAGAUCAAAGCUGGGGAUCGCAAGACCUGGCGCUUGAAGAGGGGCCCGCGCCUGAUUAGCUAGUUGGUGGGGUAACGGCCUACCAAGGCAACGAUCAGUAUCCGGCCUGAGAGGGCGGACGGACACACUGGGACUGAGACACGGCCCAGACUCCUACGGGAGGCAGCAGUGGGGAAUUGUUCGCAAUGGGCGCAAGCCUGACGACGCAACGCCGCGUGGAGGACGAAGAUCUUCGGGUCGUAAACUCCUGUCGAGCGGGACGAACGCUUCGCGGAUGAAUAAUCCGCGGAAUUGACGGUACCGCUAAAGGAAGCCCCGGCUAACUCCGUGCCAGCAGCCGCGGUAAUACGGGGGGGGCAAGCGUUGUUCGGAAUUACUGGGCGUAAAGGGCUCGUAGGCGGCCAACUAAGUCGGAUGUGAAAUCCCCAGGCUCAACUUGGGAACUGCAUCCGAUACUGGAUGGCUUGAAUCCCGGGAGAGGGAUGCAGAAUUCCAGGUGUAGCGGUGAAAUGCGUAGAUAUCUGGAGGAAUACCGGUGGC